CCUACGGGAGGCAGCAGUGAUGAAUAUUGGUCAAUGGACGAGAGUCUGAACCAGCCAAGUAGCGUGAAGGAUGACUGCCCUAUGGGUUGUAAACCUCUUUUGUCGGGGAGCAAAAGACGCCACGCGUGGCGUUCCGAGAGUACCCGAAGAACAAGCAUCGGCUAACUCCGUGCCAGCAGCCGCGGUAAUACGUAGGAGACGAGAGUUAUCCGGAUUGAUGGGGUUUAAAGGGUGCGAAGGUGGAAGGUCAAGUCAGCGUUAAAAUGAAGGGGCUAACCCUCUUCGAGCCGGUGAUACUGGUUUUCUUGAGUGAGCGAGAAGUAUGCAGAAUGCGUGGUGUAGCGGUGAAAUGCAUAGAUAUCACGCAGAACUCCGAUUGCGAAGGCAGCAUACUGGCGCUCAACUGACGCUCAUGCACGAAAGUGUGGGUAUCGAACAGGAUUAGAUACCCCUGUAGUC
rnacentral:rRNA from 1 species